rnacentral:rRNA from 1 species
AUGCUCGCCCAAGGAAUCAUUCAGCCCAGCGUGAGCCCGUUCGCCUCACCUGUGUUGUUGGUGCAGAAGAAGGAUUUGACCUGGAGGUUUUGCGUAGAUUAUCGCCACCUCAACGCGAUCACGAUCAAGAACCGCCACCCCCUCCCCAUCAUUGACGAGCUGCUGGACGAGUUGGCGGGCUCGUGUUUCUUUACCAGUUUGGACCUGAGGGCAGGAUAUCACCAGAUUCGCAUGAGACAGGGGGAUGAAUACAAGACAGCCUUCAAGACGCACCAUGGACAUUUCGAGUUUAAGGUCAUGCCGUAUGGAGUCACUGGGGGCCCCAGCACGUUUCAAGGGGCUCAGAUUUGA